AAAGAAACCAACAGGGAUUGCCCCAGUAACGGCGAGUGAAGCGGCAAGAGCUCAAAUUUGAAAGCUGGCUCCUUCGGGGUCCGCAUUGUAAUUUGCAGAGGAUGCUUCGGGAGCGGUCCCCAUCUAAGUGCCCUGGAACGGGACGUCAUAGAGGGUGAGAAUCCCGUAUGGGAUGGGGUGUCCGCGCCCGUGUGAAGCUCCUUCGACGAGUCGAGUUGUUUGGGAAUGCAGCUCUAAAUGGGUGGUAAAUUUCAUCUAAAGCUAAAUAUUGGCCGGAGACCGAUAGCGCACAAGUAGAGUGAUCGAAAGAUGAAAAGCACUUUGAAAAGAGAGUUAAAAAGCACGUGAAAUUGUUGAAAGGGAAGCGCUUGCGACCAGACUCGCUCGCGGGGUUCAGCCGGCAUUCGUGCCGGUGUAUUUCCCCGCGGGCGGGCCAGCGUCGGUUUGGGCGGUCGGUCAAAGGCCCUCGGAAGGUAACGCCCCCAGGGGCGUCUUAUAGCCGAGGGUGCAAUGCGACCUGCCUAGACCGAGGAACGCGCUUCGGCUCGGACGCUGGCAUAAUGGUCGUAAGCGAC
rnacentral:rRNA from 1 species